rnacentral:rRNA from 1 species
UACAGAGGUCCCAAGCGUUGUUCGGAUUCACUGGGCGUAAAGGGUGCGUAGGUGGUCGGGUAAGUCUGAUGUGAAAUCUCUGGGCUCAACCCAGAAAUGGCAUUGGAUACUAUUCGGCUAGAGGAGUGGAGGGGGGACUGGAAUACUUGGUGUAGCAGUGAAAUGCGUAGAGAUCGUAAGGAAGACCAGUGGCGAAGGCGGGUCUCUGGACAGUUCCUGACACUGAGGCACGAAGGCCAGGGGAGCAAACGGG